CCCCAACGCCCACCAGACCCACCUCGCCUCAAUCCCCCAUUCAUCCCCGUCUUCCCCCGUUUGGGCUGGGGAAGUGAAACUUGGGGGGAGGGGGUGGGGUCGUUAAUUGGUUGGAGAGCAAGAGAGCCUGGACUCUUCUUGGAGGCUGAAUAUAUCUUGUUUUCGUAGGCUUUUCCUCUCUUCACAAGCAAUUUUUACCUCUGAUUUUCUGGUGGCAGGGUCGGCUUUGUAAGAGAAAACACUGCAUUAAGUACUGGUGAUGAAUAAAUCCAUUUUUCCGUAUUAUUUACAUUAUUAUUGUUUAAAGACAAAGGUAUCCAUCACUCCACUCACAUAGGCGGCGAGAAUUAAGCUGCAACUUAGAGUAGAUUUAAGAAAAACCAAAAUGUGUGGCUGAGAAGAAGAAGAAGAAGGAGAGAGGGAGAGAGAGAUGUUGUCUGUGCACACGACUAUGAGAAACUCCAGAAGCACACACACUCACGCACUCGCAAGACGCGACAGAAGAAUAAGGACUGAAAAGUGUUUUUGGGGCGUUUCGUCUGUCAGCGGGGGAAGCUGUUCUAGGUUCGGGGGUCACCAAUAAAGCACCACCAACGUUUGGGAGAUGAACUAAUUAGGACGUCUUUCUCACUUACCUCUGCUGCUGCUGCUGCUGCGCGUUUCGUCUCCUCUCCUUGGAGUGGCGAGUGGAGAAGGCAAAGAAGUAGGAGGAUGAGGGAUGAGGGGUGAGGGGGAUCUCUGUAUGUGUAUGCGGAGUCUGGAGCCUCCGUUGCAUGAGAGGGGGACAGAGAGAGAAGAGAAGAGAAGGGAAAGGAAGGGAAGGGAAGGAUUCUGGUAGGCGGUCAUGCAAAGGGUGUGUGUUGUGUUGAUCUGUGCAGCGAGAAAGAGGAGUAGGAGGAGGAGGAGGAGGCGUAAGAGGAGGAGGAAGAGGGAAAGAAAAGGGGAGGCUUCUCUAGUGGCCUCCUGCUGCUGUUGCUUCUGCUGCUGCUGUUGGUGCUGCCGCCUGCAUGGAGGGAUUGACCCAGUGCAUGCCGGCAAGCACCGAAACGUUGUUGCUUGCAUGCGCGGGCACCUAGGCGGCGUCGCCGACGACGCAGUUGUAGCUUCGGGGCUUUUUGCGAUCAAUGCUCAGGAUGACGUUUAUGUCUCACGUUUGGUGUCUUGAGAGAUCGUGAGUGCUUCCAGGCGCCUCCAGACCACCGGCCGUCUUGAGCAGAGGAGUGCCAACGGGCAAAUUCGGCUCCCAGGCGUCAUGCACUGCAAGAGGCGAACAUCACCUUCUUCCUUCAAGAGACCAGGGCUGGGUACAAACACACUCACUGCUCCACAACAGUCCCACCACCACUACUACCACCACCGUGGCUACCACCUCUCUGCUUGGCUGCCCACUGGGAUACAUACCCUGAUGCCCCAACUGCAACCAGAGAUACCCCAGCUCAAGCGACAACAACAGAGCAGCGACGAUAGCAACGGCGGCUGCAAAGGAAGCAGGGAGGAGCAGCAGCAGCAGGAUUUCGCCAAUGAUGAUCUUGACGAUGAUGUUCUCGACAGAAAGACGACUCGUCUCCAGCUGUGGUCUUGCUGGUUUUGAUAUUUCAAUAUUCUGGUCCUCAUUUCGGUUCCAAAACACCGUGGUGAUGAAUUCGCAAUGAAGAAAGGAUUUGAUUAUAAUCGUGUUCAUUUCUGAUCAUUUGGAUUUGAUCUGACGCAUAGUGACGUGUCUUAAGAAUAUGAUAGUGAACGUGAAUUAUAUUAACGCAAACAGAAGUUAGUGGAGAAGUUCAAUUGUUUUUUGACGUGAUGUUGAAGACGGAUCACGAGUGAAGUAAAUAUUUGAAGCCUCUGUAGAACUACAGUUCUGGUCUGCUCUCGGAGUCACGUCUCAACAAUAAGAACUUCGAAUGUAAGCAAAGAGUGUGAAGUUGAUGAAGCAUCUCCUUCGGUUGAAACCCAACCCCACCCCCCCAACCCCCCAUCAUCCUGGGGUCAACACAGACAUUAUGGUUCAUAUUUGGAGAACCUCAUUAUGGUUACAGAUCUGGCGUUGGACGAAAGACCCCGUGAGGCCGAGCGCAUGGAAUAGGGUAAAGAAAUCGCCGUCAACAAUAACACAUUUGAUAAACGUGAGGCUGGCGAAGGUACACAGCUGUGGAGAUGUUUAAGACUUCCAAAUUUUUGGAGUCGUGUGACACCAAAGAAAGCAUCCCUGUGUAGAUCAAUAUGACACCAAAGAAGGCAUCCAGAGGAAUGUGUUGACGAAUGUAACACCCAAGAAAAAGUUUGUAUUUGAAGUAUCAAGAAGAAAUACGUGUCAAACAAGAUGCUAUCGUGUAGGUGAGAGUGACACGAAAGAAGAUAUCCCGAUUUGUAACAUACUGAAGAAGACAUCAUUGUUUUUAGAAGAAUGCGACACCAAAAGUUUCUUCUAUAUCUGGAAAUAAAUGUUUAAAGAAAAGAUCCAUAAUUAUGGAAGUCGAUGACGUCAAAUUAAAAAGAGGAAAUGCUGAUCCGACGAUUAUAUAAUACAUGACGUCAGCGAAAAAUUGGAGGUUUUAAGGUUAUUGCAAAAUUUCAUUGCAUUCUUGAGAGCUGGGGGAAAAAUGUUAUACUACUGUCAUAGAUAUUAUUUUAUAGCAGCGAUAGUAGUUCCAUCAUAGAUUCUCUUAUAAAUAUAGUUAAUUUCCGAAAUAAAUUAAUGAAAUUAAGUGCUCAUGGAUACUAAGGAUAGUAUUUUAAUAUUUAACACUAAAUACUCUUGCUUCUUCCGACUCGUUGUGACCAUUACAUUAAACUCUUAAAAGUCUAAACUAUACGUUUCAGUAAAUAUGAAUUUUCAUUCAUAUGUAAGCUUCCGUCCCUUGUAUUGAAUGUGUUCUUAUAUUAAUUUUACAAAUAAUGAUAUCAUGUCUUAUGACUUUUCUUGUGAGAUAGGUCUUAAUAUUGGUCUUGUGCCAAUUUUAUUCUUUAGUAAGAUCCACAAAAAAAUUGUAUUUUUAAUUGACACUCUACGUUUAUAAGGCCUCAUCUGUCAUCCAUCAUCUUUCUGCAGAGGCUGACAGCCACUGCAACCUUAUAAAAUAGUAAUGCAUGUUUUUGGGAUGCCUAAUAAGUUUUAUUUUUCGUUAUUUAAAGAUACGUAUUUCAGUCUUAUCGCUUUCAACACCUGUUUCAUGCAUCAGAUUUUAAUAACUUUUAAUUUUAAUGAGAUUUUAAUAACUUUUAAUUUUAAUCAGAUUUUAAUGACUUUUAAUUUCAAUCAGAUUUUAAUAACUCUUUUAAUUUUAAUCAGAUUUUAAUAACUCGGGGAAAAAAGUUACUUUUUUCCCCGUUUUUGAUAAUCACGUUUAUGAAAUUAGGAAGCCGGAGUAUUUUUUUUAACGCAGAUCGUUAUCUUUGAGUGUUAGGGUAAUGUUUACCGGAGAUGUUUCUUUGAUUGCAUUAAAUAAUAACAUGGUCCAGGAGUGUUCUUUUUCAUAUUCAAUUACAAAAAAAAUUAUCAAGAUACUGUAUCACGGGAUUAUGUAGGAGGAUAAGUAAUCAUCUCCGCUAAUAAACAACGGUCUGUUUGAAUAAGGGCUUUAAUAUAUAUUAUAUAGAACUGUCUCUCUCUCUCUCUC